rnacentral:rRNA from 1 species
UAUGUAGGUGACCAGCGUUGUCCGGAUUUACUGGGCGUAAAGAGCGCGCAGGCGGUCGUUCAAGUCGAGUGUGAAAGCCCCCGGCUCAACUGGGGAGGGUCACUCGAUACUGAUCGACUUGAAGGCAGGAGAGGGAAGCGGAAUUCCCGGUGUAGUGGUGAAAUGCGUAGAUAUCGGGAGGAACACCAGUGGCGAAGGCGGCUUCCUGGCCUGUUCUUGACGCUGAGGCGCGAAAGCUAGGGGGGCAAACGGG